rnacentral:rRNA from 1 species
GACGAACGCUGGCGGCGUGCUUAACACAUGCAAGUCGAACGGAAAGGCCCUGCUUUUGUGGGGUGCUCGAGUGGCGAACGGGUGAGUAACACGUGAGUAACCUGCCCUUGACUUUGGGAUAACUUCAGGAAACUGGGGCUAAUACCGGAUAGGAGCUCCUGCUGCAUGGUGGGGGUUGGAAAGUUUCGGCGGUUGGGGAUGGACUCGCGGCGUAUCAGCUUGUUGGUGGGGUAGUGGCUUACCAAGGCUUUGACGGGUAGCCGGCCUGAGAGGGUGACCGGCCACACUGGGACUGAGAUGCGGCCCAGACUCCUACGGGAGGCAGCAGUGGGGAAUAUUGCACAAUGGGCGGAAGCCUGAUGCAGCAACGCCGCGUGCGGGAUGACGGCCUUCGGGUUGUAAACCGCUUUCGCCUGUGACGAAGCGUGAGUGACGGUAAUGGGUAAAGAAGCACCGGCUAACUACGUG